rnacentral:misc_RNA from 1 species
UAAAUCUAAUGGGUUUAGUUUAAUUGAGACUCCCCAUCACGGUUUGUCCGAUGAGGACAUCUCUCCUGGUACUGAGUCUAUGGUCUGGGUCUUUAAAAGGUGCCUGCACCUAAUAUAUCCAUUAUGGUUGUAAUGCUUCGGUGGGUGUGUA